GAUGAACGCUGGCGGCGUGCCUAAUACAUGCAAGUCGAGCGAACAGACGAGGAGCUUGCUCCUCUGACGUUAGCGGCGGACGGGUGAGUAACACGUGGAUAACCUACCUAUAAGACUGGGAUAACUUCGGGAAACCGGAGCUAAUACCGGAUAAUAUUUUGAACCGCAUGGUUCUAAAGUGAAAGAUGGUUUUGCUGUCACUUAUAGAUGGAUCCGCGCCGCAUUAGCUAGUUGGUAAGGUAACGGCUUACCAAGGCAACGAUACGUAGCCGACCUGAGAGGGUGAUCGGCCACACUGGAACUGAGACACGGUCCAGACUCCUACGGGAGGCAGCAGUAGGGAAUCUUCCGCAAUGGGCGAAAGCCUGACGGAGCAACGCCGCGUGAGUGAUGAAGGGUUUCGGAUCGUAAAACUCUGUUAUUAGGGAAGAACAAAUGUGUAAGUAACUGUGCACGUCUUGACGGUACCUAAUCAGAAAGCCACGGCUAACUACGUG
rnacentral:rRNA from 1 species